UGGGGAAUAUUGGACAAUGGGCGAAAGCCUGAUCCAGCCAUGCCGCGUGUGUGAAGAAGGUCUUCGGAUUGUAAAGCACUUUAAGUUGGGAGGAAGGGCAGUAAGCGAAUACCUUGCUGUUUUGACGUUACCGACAGAAUAAGCACCGGCUAACUCUGUGCCAGCAGCCGCGGUAAUACAGAGGGUGCAAGCGUUAAUCGGAAUUACUGGGCGUAAAGCGCGCGUAGGUGGUUCGUUAAGUUGAAUGUGAAAGCCCCGGGCUCAACCUGUGAACUGCAUCCAAAACUGGCGAGCUAGAGUAGGGCAGAGGGUGGUGGAAUUUCCUGUGUAGCGGUGAAAUGCGUAGAUAUAGGAAGGAACACCAGUGGCGAAGGCGACCACCUGAGCUCAUACUGACACUGAGGUGCGAAAGCGUGGGGAGCAAACAGG
rnacentral:rRNA from 1 species